GACGAACGCUGGCGGCGUGCUUAACACAUGCAAGUCGAACGGAAAGGCCUGCUUUCCCUUGUGGAUUGCGGGUACUCGAGUGGCGAACGGGUGAGUAACACGUGAGUGAUCUGCCCCCAACUUGGGUAUAAGCCUGGGAAACUGGGUCUAAUUCCCGAUAGGACUGCAGGGUGGUGCCUGUGGUGGAAAACGAUUUUCUAGUGGUUGGGGAUGAGCUCGCGGCCUAUCAGCUUGUUGGUGGGGUAAUGGCCUACCAAGGCGGCGACGGGUAGCCGGCCUGAGAGGGUGGACGGCCACAUUGGGACUGAGAUACGGCCCAGACUCCUACGGGAGGCAGCAGUGGGGAAUAUUGCACAAUGGGCGGAAGCUUGAUGCAGCGACGCCGCGUGGGGGAUGACGGCCUUCGGGUUGUAAACUCCUUUCGACCGCGAGGAAGCCACCUGGUUGGAAGGGUGGUGACGGUAGUGGUAGAAGAAGCACCGGCUAACUACGUG
rnacentral:rRNA from 1 species